GAGGUAGUUCUGGGGUCCUGAAUGUGAUUUAGGGUAGUUUUGGGGUAGCUCUGGGGACGCUUUGGUGUGGUUUGGGGAUCCCAAGUAUGGUUUGGGACAGUUUUGGG